UUAGAUUUUACAAAAAUGAAAUUAUAUUAUUCAUUUCCUUUUUUUUAAUUUUAAAUUCAUUCUCUUGUAACCUUUCACAAUAUCAUGUCAAGUGCUAGUCCCAUAAAGGAAUGUUGUGAGUGUGGGAAAGUAUUUGUAUACACCCAUUACAUUUUAUUUUUCUAAUUUCGCAAAAGCAAAACAACACAAGACUUCUCAACAGGCCUCAUGUAGGAGUGCGUGUGCGCACGCAAGCAUACAUACAUUGUCUAGUAGGGGCGCUCGUCCUCGGGCUGGUACAUGGGAUCGUAGCUGCAAACCACAUAGUUCUGUCCAUUGUUGCACUUUGAAAUGCCACAUCCGACCUCGGUGGUUUUGCCCCAUACCACAGCAAGGUAGUGACCACAUUCGUCUCUGACGCAUUUGUUGGACUUUUCGUCAUAGAACUCCUUCUCAGUGACCCAAUACUUGGUGGCCGCUGCGCCACUCAUGCCGUCACCGGAGGCCAAGUUCUCACCCCAACGCCCCAUCGAGUGCUCCAUGGCACAGUCGCCAACUCUUUUAUCCGCAUAUUCUUGGGCAUACUGGGCCAAGGUCGUAUUCCACUUGAGGGGUUUGUUGCCGACCUCUUUACGAGCCUUGUUGUGCUCCUCGACGAAGCCAUCGAUCUCUUCUUUAGAAAUGUUUGCAAAUACAAGAGUGAAGACCAAGGCGACGCAGCAAAUGGCCAAAAGAAGCUUCGUGUUGAACGCCAUUUUUGUUUCUUGAUAUGAGAAGUUUAAGGUCUUUUCUUUGUAGUAGAGAAGGUUGGAUUGUUAGAUGUUGAUUGAAAGGGGGCAUGGGAUUGUGCAUAUUUAUAGAGACACAGGCAAGUUUGUGUCCGCAAAGAGGGUCUUCGAAAAUAGGCCCUUAAAAAUGGGAGGGCUGAAUAUUAUUUUUUUGGAUUCUAUAGAUUGCCAUAGAGGAGGGGCCAAAUAAAGAAAAGAAAGAAGAGAUCCAUAGAAAUUUGUGGUGUCAAAUCUUUUGGGCUUGGAAUGCGUCCACACCAAGUUUUACUCACAAUAAGGAGGGAAGACAAUUUCUUGGGUGAGUUUCCUUUUUUUUUUUCCCUUAAAAAAGUAAGUUCUUCUUUUCUGUUUUUCUUUUCUUUUCUUCUUUUCAGCUGAACUAGUUUUUUUUUCUUUCUUUUUCUUUUUCGAAUGGAUAAGAUUGAAAGAAGAAUUAACAGGGUAGAACACUAUUGGGUGUCGUGAGUAAUAUGUCUUUUGUUUUUCCUUCAGUUGUGUCUGUUUUUCCUCAUGACUUAGUUGGCCUCCUUUCUCCGUUUUUGGUGUCACGCGUUUCUAAUUUAGCCAUAUUCUUUUUUAUAAGAAUUCACUCGUGUUUUUUUUUUCCCUAAUGAACAAUCUCAUGUUAUAAUGUACGUUUAUUUAUUAAUAUUAUAUCAUCGGAUGCAAAGGAUUUGUAACUCAAAUAAUUUAGAGGUCCUAAGUUCGAUUCGACCUUCCCUCAAUAUGACUUGUAUAAAUAAAAAAUAAAAAAAUAAAUAUCAUAAGAUAUAAAUUUGUUGUCCACUUACAUCAAUUUCUAAUGUUACAGUGACCAAAAAAAAAAAAAAACACUUUCUUCAAUUUUUUAUAAUCUUAAUGGUUUUUUGAGUUACUUGUGUCUCUACUAGUGAACUGUUACUUUUUUUUCUUUUUCUUUUUUAUAGAAAUAUCGGCUCCAAAAUCUCUACCCUCGUCAAAGCUAUUGCACAUAUUUAGUUUUCGUGACCAAUCUAUUUCGUCACCCAUUCUGAAAAUAACCAAACCAACUAACAUAUUCGACAAAUAAACUACAUCUUUCACGACCAUAACAUUCAUUGCUGAAAUGUUCUGGCGACCAAACAUUUAUUUCAUCGCCAAAUAAUUCCAUGUUCACGGGAAUUUUUGGUAUUUUGGCAGCAACUCAGACUCGAUGGCGACCAACUUGGAGCUGUAUAGUGACGACAAAUUUAGUCGCUAAAAUAUUUUAGCGACAAAAUUUUGUUUCGUCACAUGGUAUCUUUAGCCACGAGCUUUCAACGACGACCUUAGAGACCAAAAAUAUUUGUCGCUACUUAUAUUUGGCGACGAAAUUUGGUGUUAUAGUGACCAUCUUGUUUCGUCACUAAAAAGGAUUAUCCUUGUAGUGGUUCUUUCUUUCUGGAAGCUGAUAAAUAAACUCUGUGCCUUUUGAAAUCAAAUUAUCAUGGGAUAUUUCAUUAGUGUUAUUAGUUUUAGGGAAAUAUGUUACUUGAAUUACUUUCUCAGCAAGUGAUUGGUGGGGGCAAAAACUCAUAAAACGGUUCAAUUUCCUCCUCCUGAGUUUGACAGCGUGGAGACAACUAAUUAUUUUCCUCUGGCGACCAGUUGCUGUCUAUUGGCAAUCGGUCGCUGUCUAUUGGCGACCGGUCGUUUUGAAGCAUGUUUUUCGUGUUUGAAGAACUAAGGGGGGAGACCGGUCGCUUUCCACUGGCAACCAGUCGUUUUGAAGCUGAGUGACAUCCUAUGGAAAAAAAUCAAAAAUUUGAGGAGGGGUGGAUUCUCGAUUCUCCUCUUGUACUGCUGAAAAAUAUAAGACAUGUUCCCGAAACACAACAUCCAUAGAGGUAUAGACCUUCUGACUAGGAGGAUGAUAACACCAGUAUCAUUCCUUAUGAGGUGCAUAGCCAAUGAAACCACACUUUUCAGCUCGGUGAUCCAAUUUGCUUCAUUAAUGAUCAUGUAAGUGGACAAAUACAACAUAGACGAAAUUCGGGGUUCCAGGUUUGGGGUGGGAGGUAUUUGGAUAUGGUAGUGUUUGAAGUGGCGUUUGAAAAUUUAGGAUACUAGAGGGAAUUUGAUUGAUGAGGUAUGCCACAGAGACGAUGGCUUCACCCCAAAAAGGUCGUGGCAUAUUGGCACCAAAGAGAGAGGCACGAACUACUUCUAAUAAUUGUAUGUUCUUUCUUUCAACCACUUCAUUUUGUUGAGAAGUGUAGGGGCAUGAGCGUUGAUGUAUGAUGUCAUGAUCUUGUAAGAACUGGUUAAGAGCAUGGUUGAGAAAUUCUCCGUCAUUCUCAUAACGAAGAACAUGAAUUAUGGCAUGAAACUGAGUCCCCACCAUUUGAUGGAACCGUUGAAACUUGGAACUGACUUCCCCUUUAGUUUUGAGAAUGGAAACCUAAAUCAUGCUUGUGCAAUCAUCUACAAACGUAACAAACCAUCGAGCUCCUGCCGGGGUGGCAAUUUUGGCAGGUUCACAAACAUCAGAAUGAACAAGAGAAAAUGGAACUAAACUCUUAUUUGAACUUAAUGGGAACGGGACAUGAUGGCUCUUAGCCAAUUCACACAUAUCACACUGGAAGCUAGAAACAUCAAGACUGUAAAAUAAUGAUCAAAACAACUUCUUAUGAUAACCGAACAAGGCAUGCACAAGACGUUUAUGUCAUAACCAAACUUUACCUCUCUCCCCUUUAGAACAAGUUCCAAUGGUUGUGAAAGCUUGACCAACCUUGGUCUCACUAUACGAUGCCCAUUCUAAGUAGUAGAGUUUGCCCCGCUGAGUACCACAACCAAUCAUCUUUCCCAGGAAGAUGUCCUGAAAAACACAAUGAUUCAGCCAAAAUGUUACAGUACACCCCAAAGUAGUAGUAAGUUGUGCAACAGACAACAAGUUAUGGUCCAAAGAUGGAACAAUCAAUACAGAAUCCAGAUGUAGGAAAGUAGAGAGAGAUAGAAAACCCUCAUCAACCACAGAGGAUGGGGUACCAUUAGCAUUUGACACCACCGACAGAGUGGAUGAUUUUCGACUAAUAAGUUGGCCAGGAUCAAAUGUCAUGUGAUCCGUAGCACCCGAGUUUGCUGAUUUUUUAGAGGACGUAUGAAAAGUAGAACCUUUGGUGGUGCGAUAGAAGCACGAGUUCGAGUAGCCGAGUCAGCAGGAGUGACCGCAUGCUUCUGUGAGUCUGCAAUAAGGGAGAAAAUAGUAAGGGGUCCUAACAUCGCAGUGGAAGUAAUAUGUGAUAUGAGUAUGUGAGGAAUUUGAUUGGAGGAAUGUGAUUGGAGGAAUUUGAUGUGUGAAUUUGAUGUAGAAAUUAGAUUUGAGAGGUAUGUGUUUGGGGAUUUUGAUAAGAGGAUUUGAGGACUUUAGAUUUGAGGGAUUUGGAUUUCGAGAAUUUAAAUAUGAGGAAUUUGAUUUAGGGUUUUGGAUUUGAAUAUGAGAAAUUUGAUGUAAGGGUUUAGAGACAACUUAUGAUCGAUUGCUCUGAUACCAUGCUAAAAUAUAAAUAUGGUUUGAAUACUUUAGGUUAAGUUUUAUUCUUCUCCGUAAAUAGGUAUAUAUAGGAGUUUACAUGAGUGCUUUACAAGAAAUAGAUACAGUAAUCAAGUAGAAUACUAUCUCGUAAUUAUACAAUCAUUUGUCAAUUAUAUAAAAUAAAAAAGUAAAUCCCUUAUUUAAUCAAGGAAAUAAAUUUCUUUGAUUAAUUAACAGACUCGCGUCAACAAAGACUGUGGUGCUACUCUUCUAGUAUAAAAUUUUGAUAUAUUUCUAUAAAAUUUGGUCUCGUUUCAAACAAAAAAAAAAAGAAGGGUAGAUUUUGUUUCCAAAGGUAAGAAAUUUUUUUAAUUUUUUUAAAUUCAAGAUAAAAUUAAAAAUUAAAAAUUAAAAAAAAACUCCAUCCUUGAAAUUUGAAUCAGGAAGUCUUUAACAAGUAAAAAUUAUACAAGCGAUUGUUUAAAUUAAGGAUCUUAAUAUAAUUUACGAAAAGCGACGAUGACACAUUAGCAUAUUACCACGGAAUGAGCAUACAAUGCGUUAUAAGUACUCAAUAUAAACUUUCUUAGCGCUGAAUUUUUUUUAAUUUUUCUCAAUAGAGUAAAAACGAACAUCAGAGCUAGAAAGGGUCAUCACAUCAAUAGUACAUUUGUUCACCACGUGAUGUUUUUCUCAACUUCAUCAGCUUGAUCAAAUGCCUUCCAAUUCUAGUAGGGACGCUCGCCCUCAUAAUUACCAGGAGGAUCGUAGCUGCAAAUGACAAAAACCCAAUUGUUGUCACACUUAGCCCUAGCACAACCAAGAUGAACCGAGUUCCUCUAAACCACCUGAGUAUAAUGCCCACAUUCAUCCCCAACACAUUUGUUGGAACCGUAGUUAGCAGCUGGAUUUUUUUCUUUCUUAGAGCAUUUUUACCCAUUUAUCAUGGUAAAAGUCUAGGGGAGACAAGGGCAAUUACUCUUCACGUGAAUAGUAUCUGCCCUAGCAAUUUUUUUGUUGUUUUUCCACCCAUUGUCAUGGCAAUCGAAGGACAAUUAGUAUUCACUUGAGAUUACUUUAAUUUGUAUGUAUGAGAUUAAUAAUAUAAAAAAAUCUAGGUAUGUAUAAAAAAAUAAUAUAUUCUCAAUUUUUUGUAAUUUUUCAAAAAAAAUUUUAGGCAACAACUCGAGUUGUUCUUGCUUGCUGGGCUUGAUUGAGUCCACGCCUUGCCUGGGUUGUUUUGUACCACUUGAGGAGCAUUUCUUGGCCUGGGCAACCUUUUGACAGGGUUGGACUUAUUUUAUUUGAAAUAAUAGUGGGCUACGGUAUUUUAGGAAUAAUGCUGGGUGAAAAGAUAGGAUUGUGUUUUAUCAAAUUUACAUGGUGGGAGGGAAGAUAAGGUGGGUGGGGAAAUAGUGUGAGAAUGUGAAGGUAAAAAGUCUCACAUUGGAAAGUUAGAAAACUUUGCAAUGGCUUAUAAGGAGUUGGGUUACUCUCCCAAUUUCCAAUUAGUUUUGGGGUGGAACCUCAACUUUCUUCAUGGCAUCAGAGCAAGUUGACCACGUGUUAAAGCCCAAUGACCACAUGAGCUCCAUGUCACCCAAAAUGUUUUGUGCACGUGUUAGGCUUGAAAAUUGGCCACACGAGUGGGGGCGUGCGAGAAUGUGAAGGUAAAAAGUCCCACAUUAGAAAGUUAAAAAACCUUGCAAAGGCUUAUAAGGAUUUGGAUUACUUCUCCCAUUGCAAAUUGGUUUUAUGGUGGAAUCUCAACUUCCUUCAAAUAGGACAGGGAGGUGAAAAUAGUAGCACUCAAAAAAAAAAUAUGUACGGUUAUUUAGCCUUAAUAAUGGAUAAUUAGUUCUUUAUUAAAAUUUUGGAUAAACCAAUUAGAAUUUUGUCUAGUUGUAUUUUCAAAAAAAGAGAGAUUGACUAACAAAAAAAAAACACAUUAAGAGAAUGAGAUAAUAUUUCGGUUAGAUUUUACGAAAAUGAAAUUAUAUUAUUCUUUUCUUUUUUUUGUAUUUAUUAUUCAUUCUCUUGUAACCUUUCACAAUAUCAUGUCAAGUGCUAGCUAGUCACAUAAAGGAAUGUUGUGAGUGUGGGAAAGUAUUUGUAUACACCCAUUACAUUUUAUUUUUCUAAUUUCACAAAAGAAAAAAAACACAAGACUUCUCAACAAGCCUCAUGUAGGUGUGCGUGUGCGCACGCAAGCAUACAUACAUUGUCUAGUAGGGGCGCUCGUCCUCGGGCUGGUACAUGGGAUCGUAGCUGCAAACCACAUAGUUCUGUCCAUUGUUGCACUUUGAAAUGCCACAUCCAACCUCGGUGGUUUUGCCCCAUACCACAGCAAGGUAGUGACCACAUUCGUCUUUGACGCAUUUGUUGGACUUUUCGUCAUAGAACUCCUUCUCGGUGACCCAAUACUUGGUGGCAGCUGCGCCGCUCAUGCCGUCACCAGAGGCCAAGUUCUCACCCCAACGCCCCAUCGAGUGCUCCAUGGCGCAGUCGCCAACUCUUUUAUCCGCAUAUUCUUGGGCAUACUGGGCCAAGGUCGUGUUCCAAUUGAGGGGUUUGUUGCCGACCUCUUUACGAGCCUUGUUGUGCUCCUCGACGAAGCCAUCGAUCUCUUCUUUAGAAAUGUUUGCAAAGACAAGAGUGAAGACCAAUGCGACGCAGCAAAUGGCCAAAAGAAGCUUCGUGUUGAACGCCAUUUUUGUUUUUUGAUAUGAGAAGUUUAAGGUCUUUUCUUUGUAGUAGAGAAGGUUGGAUUGUUAGAUGUUGAUUGAAAGGGGGCAUGGGAUUGUGCAUAUUUAUAGAGACACAGGCAAGUUUGUGUCCGCAAAGAGGGUCUUCGAAAAUAGGCCCUUAAAAAUGGGAGGGCUGAAUAUUAGUUUUUUGGAUUCUAUAGAUUGCUGUAGAGGCGGGGCCAAAUAAAGAAAAGAAAGAAGAGAUCCAUAGAAAUUUGUGGUGUCACAUCUUUUGUGCUUGGAAUGCGUCCACACCAAGUUUUACUCACAAUAAGGAGGGAAGACAAUUUCUUUGGUGAGUUUCCUUUUUUUUUUCCCCUUAAAAAAGUAAGUUCUUCUUUUCUGUUCUUCUUUUCUGUUCUUCUUUUCUUUUCUUCUUUCAGGUGAACUAUUUUUUUUUUUUUUUCUUGUUCUUUUUCUAAAGGAUAAGAUGGAAACAAGAAGUAACGAGGUAGAACAUUAUUGGGUGUCUUGAGUAAUAUGUCUUUUGUUUUUCCUUCAGUUGUGUCUGUUUUUCCUCAUGACUUAGUUGGCCUCCUUUCUCCUAUGCGUCUAUAUGCUAUUGUUUAAACCUGUCUUCUGGUCCUAAUCCCCUUUGUUCACUAAAAUAACUGAUAAGGAAAAUCACCAUACUCUAGUUUUUGGUGUCACACGUUUCAAAUUUAGCCAUAUUCUUUUUUAUAAGAAUUCACUCUUUUUUUUCUUUUCUUUUUUUCUAAUGAACAAUCUCAUGUUAUAAUGUGCGUUUAUUUAUUAAUAUUAUAUCAUCGGAUGCAAUGGAUUUUUAACUCAAAUAGUUAAGAGGUCCUAAGUUCGAUUCCACCCUCCCUCAAUAUGACUUGUAUAAAAAAUAAAAAUAAAAAUUAUAUCAUCAGAUAUAAAUUUGUUGUCCACUUACAUCAAUUUCUAAUGUUACAGUGACCAAAAAAAAAAAACUUUCUUCAAUUUUUUAUUAUCUUAAUGGUUUUUUGAGUUACUUGUGUCUCUACUAGUGAACUGUUACUUUUUUUUCUUUUUCUUUUUUAUAGAAAUAUUGGCUCCAAAAUCUCUGCCCUCGUCAAAGCUAUUGCACAUCUUCAGUUUUGGCGACCAAUCUAUUUCGUCGCCCAUUCUGAAAAUAACCAAACCAGCUAACAUAUGCGACAAAUAAACUACAUCUUUCACGACCAUAACAUUCAUCGCUGAAAUGUUCAGGCGACCAAACAUUUAUUUCGUCGCCAAAUAAUUUCAUGUUUGCGGGAAUUUUUGGUAUUUUGGCAGCAACUCACUCUCAAUGGCAACCAACUUGGAGCUGUGUAGUGAAGACAAAUUUAGUCGCUAAAAUAUUUUCAGCGACAAAAUUUUGUUUCGUCGCAUGGUAUCUUUAGCCCCGAGCUUUCAACGAUGACCUUAGAGACCAAAAAUAUUCGUCGCUACUUAUAUUUGGCGAUUAAAUUUGGUGUUAUAGUGACCAUCUUGUUUCGUCACUAAAAGGGAUUAUCCUUGUAGUGCUUCUUUCUUUCUAGAAGCUGAUAAAUAGACUCUGUGCCUUCUAAAAUCAAAUUAUCAUGGGAUAUUUCAUUAGUGUUAUGAAUUUUAGGAAAAGAUGUUACUUGAAUGACUUUCUCAGCAGGUGAUUGGUGGGGGCAAAAACUCAUAAAACGGUUCAAUUUCCUCCUCCUGAGUUUGACAGCGUGGAGAUAACUAAUUAUUUUCCUCUGGCGACCAGUCGCUGUCUAUUGGCAAUCGGUCGCUGUCUAUUGGCGACCGGUCAUUUUGAAGCAUGUUUUCCGUGUUUGAAGAACUAAGGGGGGGACCGGUCGCUUUCCACUGGCGACUAGUCGUUUUGAAGCUGAGUGACAUCCUGUGGAAAAAAAUCAAAAAUUUGAGGAGGGGUGGAUUCUCGAUUCUCCUCUUGUGCCGCUGAAAAAUAUAAGACAUGUUCCCGAAACACAACAUCCAUAGAGGUAUAGACCUUCUAACUAGGAGGAUGAUAACACCUGUAUCUUUUCUUAUGAGUGCAUAGCCAAUGAAACCACACUUUUCAGCUCGGUGAUCCAAUUUGCUUCGUUGGUGAUCAUGUAAGUGGACAAAUACAACAUAGCCGAAAUUCGGGGUUCCAGGUUUGGGGUGGGAGGUAUUUGGAUAUGGUAGUGUUUGAAGUGGCGUUUGAAAAUUUAGGAUACUAAAGGGAAUUCGAUUGAUAAGGUAUGCUACAGAGACGAUGGCUUCGCCCCAAAAAGAUCGUGGCAUAUUGGCACCGAAGAAAGAGGCACGAACUACUUCUAAUAAUUGUAUGUUCUUUCUUUCAACCACUUCAUUCUGUUGAGGAGUGUAAGGGCAUGAGCGUUGAUGUAUGAUGCCAUGAUCUUGUAAGAACUGGUUAAGAGCAUGGUUGAGAAAUUCUCCGCCAUUUUCAUAAAGAACAUGAAUUAUGGCAUGAAACUGAGUCUCCACCAUUUGAUGGAACCGUUGAAACUUAGAACUGACUUCCCUUUUAGUUUUGAGAAUGGAAACCUAAGUCAUGCUUGUGCAAUCAUCUACAAACGUAACAAACCAUCGAGCUCCUGCCGAGGUGGCAAUUUUAGCAGGUCCAUAAACAUCAGAAUGAACAAGAGAAAAUGGAAUUAAACUCUUGUUUGAACUUAAUAGGAACGGGAACACGAUGGCUCUUAGCCAAUUCACAAGUAUCACACUGGAAGCUAGAAACAUCAAGACUGUAAAAUAAUGAUGGAAACAACUUCUUAUGAUAACCGAACAAGACAUGCACAAGAUGUUUAUGCCAUAACCAAACUUUACCUACCUCCCCUUCAGAACAAGUUCCACGUGUUGUGAAAGCUUGACCAACCUUGGUCUUAACAUACGGUGCCAGUCUAAGUUGUAGAGUUUGCCCCGCCGAGUACCACAACUAAUCGUCUUUCCCAUGAGGACGUCCUGAAAAACACAAUGAUUCGCCAACAUGUUACAAUACACCACAAAGUAGUAGGAAGUUGUGCAACAGACAACAAGUUAUGGUCCAAAGAUGGAACAAUCAAUACAGAAUUCAGAUAUAGGGAAGUAGAGAGAGAUAGAGAGCCCUCCUCAACCACAGGGGAGGGGGUACCAUUAGCAUCAUCCACCAAGUUGGCCAGGAUCAAAUGUCAUGUGAUUCGUACCCGAGUUUGCGGAUUUUUUAGAGGACGUAUGAAAACUAGAACCUUUGGUGGUGCGAUAGAAGCACGAGUCCUAGUAGCCGAGUCAGUAGGAGUGACCGCAUGCUUCUGUGAGUCUGCAAUAAGGGAGAAAAUAGUAGGGCGUCCUAACAUCACAGUGGAAGUAAUAUGUGAUAUGAGUAUGUGAGGAAUUUGAUUGGAGGAAUUUGAUGUGUGAUUUUGAUGUAGAAAUUGGAUUUGAGAGGUAUGUGUUUAGGGAUUUUGAUAAGAGGAUUUGAGGACUUUGGAUUUGAGGGAUUUGGAUUUCGAGAAUUUAAAUAUGAGGAAUUUGAUUUAGGGUUUUGGAUUUAAAUAUGAGAAAUUUGAUGUAAGGGUUUAGAGACAACUUAUGAUCGAUUGCUCUGAUACCAUGCUAAAAUAUAAAUAUGGUUUGAAUACUUUACGUUAAGUUUUAUUCUUCUCCGUAAAGAGGUAUAUAUAAGAGUUUACAUGAGUGCUUUACAAGAAAUAGAUACAAUAAUCAAGUAGAAUACUAUCUCGUAAUUAUACAAUCAUUUGUCAAUUAUAUAAAAUAAAAAAGUAAAUCCCUUAUUUAAUCAAGGAAAUAAAUCUCCUUGAUUAAUUAACAGAUUCGUGUCAACAAAGACUGUGGUGCUACCCUUCUAGUAGAAAUUUUUUAUAUAUUUCUAUAAAAUUUGGUCUCGUUUCAAACAAAAAAAAUAAAAGGGUAGAUUUCUUUCCAAAGGUAAGAACUUUUUUUAAUUUUUUUUAAUCCAAGAUGUAAAAAAAAAAAACUCCGUUCAUGAAAUUUGAAUCAGGAAGUCUUUAACAAGUAAAAAUUAUACAAGCGAUUGUCUAAAUUAAUCUACUCUACGAAAAAGAAACAUCAACAAGGAAAGUGACAAUGACACAUUAGCAUAAUACCACGGAAUGAGCAUACAAUGAGUUAUAAGUACUAAACUUUCUUAGCGCUGAAUUUUUUUUAAUUUUUCUCAAUAGAGAGGUGGAGUUAGGAUUUUAUGUGUGGAGGGGAGGGGUCAAUAUAUUAGGAUUUAAAGUUGAUUUCUUUCCCAGUGUUAAGCUUGUAAAUAAAUAAAUAACAGAUUAUCUUUAAUUUCCUAUUUUCUUAAAUAUACUUGUGAAAGAAAGAUUUGAUUUGCUGUUUCUUUUAAUUUUUAUUAAUUAUGUUGGUAGAAUCUAGGAGUAAGUUUGCCAUAUUGCUAAGAAAAGAGUCUUUUAGUUGGAGGGGGAAAUGUAAAUCCCUCUUUCUCUUUAUUGUGGGGGGCCACAAGCAUUAAUUUAAUAUAUAUAUUAUCCUAAGUUGUAUAAUACAAAGACAAUAUAUAUACUAUUUUAGAAUUUUGGGAGGGCAAGGCCCUUGCAGGCCUAAGCACACCUCCACCCCUGGAGAACAAUACAUUCUUUGAGAGUAAAAACGAACAUAAGAGCUAGAAAGGGUCAUCACAUCAAUAGUACAUUUGUUCACCACAUGAUGUUUUACAAAAGAGAGACCCCCACCUUCACGUGAACUCCACCCAAACAUUAUUUAGUCCAAAAUACUACUUUAAUAUCAACCAACAACAUCCAAUCUGUUCCAAGUUCCAGUCCACCAUCUCAACUUCAUCAGCUUGAUCAAAUGCCUUCCAAUUCUAGUAGGGACGCUCGUCCUCAUAAUUACCAGGAGGGUCGUAGCUGCAAAUGACAAAAACCCAAUUGUUGUCACACUUAGCCCUAGCACAACCAAGAUGAACCGAGUUCCUCCAAACCACCCGAGUAUAAUGCCCACAUUCAUCCCCAACACAUUUGUUGGAGCCGUAGUUAGCAGCUGGAUUUUUUUCCAUGUCACCCAAAAUGUGUUGUCCACGUGUUAGGCUUGAAAAUUCGUCACACGAGUGGGGGUAGAGGUGGGCACUGUUCGGUUUGGACCGAUUUUUGCCUCAAAUUAGAACUGAUCCGGUACUAUUUAUCCGGUUUGGUUCAGUUCUGUUUUAAUUAAAAAAAUUCAAAAACUAUCUGGUUCGGUUUGAACCGGUUUCGGUCCGAUUUCGAUUUCGGUUCAGUUUGAACCGGAUUAACAAAAUUAUUUUUUUAAAUUGUUUUUUAAUGCAAUUCUCAACUGAAAUAUUUUUUUUUUUACUUGAAAAUUAACAAAUUAUUCAAUUUCAUAUAAAAAAUAAAUAUUAAAGUUAGAAAAGAUAGAUAUUUUGAUAUUAAACUUGGAUAAAUAUUAGGUUUUUCUUAGUGAAAUUAAAAAUAUAGCAUUAAAUAUAAAUAUAUAUUGAAAUUAUAUAUUUUUUUAAUUUGACCGGUUCGGUUCGAUUUUUGAAGACAUGGAACCGGAUCCAAAACCGGUCCAAAUCGGUUCAGUUCGAUUUUUGACCAGUUGUUGACUUUUUGGUCAACUCGAUUUUUUCGGGUUUGGUUCAGUGCGGUUCGGCUCGGAUUUUUGGUUCGCCGAUUUAAGUGCCCACCCCUAAGUGGGGGCGUGCGAGAAUGUAAAAGUAAAAAGUCCCACAUUAGAAAAUUAGAAAACCUUGCAAGGGUUUAUAAGGAUUUAGAUUAAUUCCCCCGUUGCAAAUUGGUUUUAUGGUGAAAUCUCAACUUCCUUCAAAUAGGACAAGGAAGUGGAAAUAGUAGCACUCAAAAAAAAAAAAUGUACGGUUAUUUAGCCUUAAUAAUGGAUAAUUAGUCCUUUAUUAAUUUUUUGGAUAAACCAAUUAGAAUUUUGUCUAGUUGUAUUUUCAAAAAAAGAGAGAUUGACUAACAAAAAAAAAACACAUUAAGAGAAUGAGAUAAUAUUUCGGUUAGAUUUUACGAAAAUGAAAUUAUAUUAUUCUUUUCUUUUUUUUGUAUUUAUUAUUCAUUCUCUUGUAACCUUUCACAAUAUCAUGUCAAGUGCUAGCUAGUCACAUAAAGGAAUGUUGUGAGUGUGGGAAAGUAUUUGUAUACACCCAUUACAUUUUAUUUUUCUAAUUUCACAAAAGAAAAAAAACACAAGACUUCUCAACAAGCCUCAUGUAGGUGUGCGUGUGCGCACGCAAGCAUACAUACAUUGUCUAGUAGGGGCGCUCGUCCUCGGGCUGGUACAUGGGAUCGUAGCUGCAAACCACAUAGUUCUGUCCAUUGUUGCACUUUGAAAUGCCACAUCCAACCUCGGUGGUUUUGCCCCAUACCACAGCAAGGUAGUGACCACAUUCGUCUUUGACGCAUUUGUUGGACUUUUCGUCAUAGAACUCCUUCUCGGUGACCCAAUACUUGGUGGCAGCUGCGCCGCUCAUGCCGUCACCAGAGGCCAAGUUCUCACCCCAACGCCCCAUCGAGUGCUCCAUGGCGCAGUCGCCAACUCUUUUAUCCGCAUAUUCUUGGGCAUACUGGGCCAAGGUCGUGUUCCAAUUGAGGGGUUUGUUGCCGACCUCUUUACGAGCCUUGUUGUGCUCCUCGACGAAGCCAUCGAUCUCUUCUUUAGAAAUGUUUGCAAAGACAAGAGUGAAGACCAAUGCGACGCAGCAAAUGGCCAAAAGAAGCUUCGUG
rnacentral:lncRNA from 1 species